CCAAGUCCCAGGAGGAUAUAGACUGGGGGUCAUGUCACUCUGGAGGCUGCCAUUGUUGUUAUUGUCCAUCUACUCUUUUAGGGAAGUGUCAGG